GUACUAUAUGCGACACUGUGUAUCUGUAAAGGCGAUGACGAUGCAGGAAGUCGGUGCAAAGCCGGCGCGGUCCCGCCACUGUAAUCGGGGAGCGACCCUCGUAGGCCACGGCCAUUGGCUGGAAGGCGAGGCAAGCGGUGAUCCGAGAGCCAGGAAACUCGCGUCAUCGCGUCCUGCUAAC
rnacentral:ncRNA from 15 species